rnacentral:rRNA from 1 species
GUCGAACGAUGAUGGGAGCUUGCUCCUGGAUUAGUGGCGAACGGGUGAGUAACACGUGAGUAACCUGCCCUUAACUCUGGGAUAAGCCUGGGAAACUGGGUCUAAUACCGGAUAUGACUCCUCAUCGCAUGGUGGGGGGUGGAAAGCUUUAUUGUGGUUUUGGAUGGACUCGCGGCCUAUCAGCUUGUUGGUGAGGUAAUGGCUUACCAAGGCGACGACGGGUAGCCGGCCUGAGAGGGUGACCGGCCACACUGGGACUGAGACACGGCCCAGACUCCUACGGGAGGCAGCAGUGGGGAAUAUUGCACAAUGGGCGCAAGCCUGAUGCAGCGACGCCGCGUGAGGGAUGACGGCCUUCGGGUUGUAAACCUCUUUCAGUAGGGAAGAAGCGAAAGUGACGGUACCUGCAGAAGAAGCGCCGGCUAACUACGUGCCAGCAGCCGCGGUAAUACGUAGGGCGCAAGCGUUAUCCGGAAUUAUUGGGCGUAAAGAGCUCGUAGGCGGUUUGUCGCGUCUGCCGUGAAAGUCCGGGGCUCAACUCCGGAUCUGCGGUGGGUACGGGCAGACUAGAGUGAUGUAGGGGAGACUGGAAUUCCUGGUGUAGCGGUGAAAUGCGCAGAUAUCAGGAGGAACACCGAUGGCGAAGGCAGGUCUCUGGGCAUUAACUGACGCUGAGGAGCGAAAGCAUGGGGAGCGAACAGGAUUAGAUACCCUGGUAGUCCAUGCCGUAAACGUUGGGCACUAGGUGUGGGGGACAUUCCACGUUUUCCGCGCCGUAGCUAACGCAUUAAGUGCCCCGCCUGGGGAGUACGGCCGCAAGGCUAAAACUCAAAGGAAUUGACGGGGGCCCGCACAAGCGGCGGAGCAUGCGGAUUAAUUCGAUGAACGCGAAGAACCUUACCAAGGCUUGACAUGAACCGGAAAUGCCUGGAGACAGGUGCCCCGCUUGCGGUCGGUUUACAGGUGGUGCAUGGUUGUCGUCAGCUCGUGUCGUGAGAUGUUGGGUUAAGUCCCGCAACGAGCGCAACCCUCGUUCUAUGUUGCCAGCACGUGAUGGUGGGGACUCAUAGGAGACUGCCGGGGUCAACUCGGAGGAAGGUGGGGACGACGUCAAAUCAUCAUGCCCCUUAUGUCUUGGGCUUCACGCAUGCUACAAUGGCCGGUACAAAGGGUUGCGAUACUGUGAGGUGGAGCUAAUCCCAAAAAGCCGGUCUCAGUUCGGAUUGGGGUCUGCAACUCGACCCCAUGAAGUCGGAGUCGCUAGUAAUCGCAGAUCAGCAACGCUGCGGUGAAUACGUUCCCGGGCCUUGUACACACCGCCCGUCAAGUCACGAAAGUUGGUAACACCCGAAGCCGGUGGCCUAACC